UCACGUUGGUGGCUGGUCUCCUGUUCCAACCGCUCGGCGAUUGUAAACAUGUCCCCACGUUCAGGAGCCACAGGUGAUUAUGCGGCGACGAUGCUCCCGCAAACAGGAAAGCAUUUCCUACUAAUGGCCGUCUGCUCAGGUGCAGACACACGGGAGGCUUUGAGGACCCUGCUUGUGCUCCGGGCCCUUCUCCGAACAGCUCAGCUGCCCCCUGGCAGGGCCACGGUGACACGACAUGGGGGCUGUGCCGCCACACCGUGUCACGGAUGGACCAACUAACCCACAGAACAGCAUGAGCCGAGACAAGUUUUCCCAAAAACUCACGCUCCCUUUCUCACGCUCUGGAUACGCACGCGGAAUUGCAGCACGCGUCACAGCCACUUACGCGUUAAAUUACGAAACAACUCAGAGCAAACGUUUUAGAGAACGUGGGGAGAACUAACUAGAGCAACGGAGAAUCCCCUGACGACCCAUCAUCCAGCUGAACGAGACGGAUACGUACGCAUGUGCAAACGUAAACUGUGCUCCAGGAGAUGAUGGCAUCACACCCUCCUGGUGGCCCCUGUCUUCUCGCUUUCUUGUUGCUUCAACAGAGAUGGAGAAUCUCUCUCUCACCACCGCAUUUCCACAGAGCGAUUGAAGCCUGACACACGGGACAGGGGAGGCACCCGCCCCCCGCAUCCGCGUGCGCUCAGGGCCGGGUCGCCGGGCCACGGGGAGGGCUCCCCAGGUACGCGGAGGUCCACUCUCCCGCCUCUGAAUCUGAUGCUUCUCCUCUCUUUCCGAAAUGGUAAUUGUCUUUUGCUUAGUUAGCAAUUGCACUGGAGACUGUGGCCUUUGGACAUUUGGGGAAAACGUGUGAUGUGAGAUUCAUUCCCUGGAGGGGACUGAGCUGUAAAGGGUUAAGUCACUAUGGGUAAAGUCUCCCAGCUCUCUGAACUCUGCUCGAAGAACUUCUUGUAAAAAAAGCUGGCACCUCAAUCAUUUUUUUUCCAAAAAUAUCAUUUUUUUUUCUGAAUCAAAAACAACGCAAGCACGUUUUAGAAAAAUUGGAAAUGAGAGACGUGCGAAAAGCUAAGGCAUCUCCCACUACUAUUUCAUCCUGAGACACUGUGCCAAAAUUUUGUGCCACCUGCUCACAGGUACGUGAACCUGCAAAGGGUCCACACCGGCACGAGAGAGCGCGUCUUCUCCACCUUGCUCACUGUUGGGAGCGGGAAAUUGGCCGUCGUGGGAGAAUUUACUCCUCAGAGAUUGUCGCCACUCUUUCUCUUUUCGCACACCAGCACACCACCGUCCUGUCACACGCAUGUAACACAAUUAACAUAAACUUUUGCUCCCCUGAAAUUUAGGAUUUUUCCAGUGACUUGCCAUUGUCAUAAUUGUGAAGAUCUUGUACGUAAAUCUUUCCCCACAUUUCUGCUUGUUUCCUUAAGAGACCAUGCAGGACGUGGAGUUUUAGGGUCAGAGAGUAGGAGCAUUACUAAGGCCCUCGAUGCACAGCUUUGAAUGACUUUCCAGAAAGACUGACCCCGUUUCUAUCCAUAGGAGCAGGUGUGUGAGUGUCCUACACCUGUUGGCCUCAAUUAUCACCGUCUCAAACAACCCUCCCUAAUUCGGGAGGAGGCACAGCAUGUCACUGUAGCCUUAAUUCAUGUCUCAAGUGAUUAGCGAAGGUGAAUUUUAAAAAACGUGUGUGGGCCACAUGUGUUUCCUUUCCUGUGAGUUCUUCGUGUCCCAGUGAUUCAAGCCGCAAAUGCGGAAGGAGGCGUUCACGACUGUCUACGGCGCUCACGGACGUUAGAGCUCGCUGGUUGGAGUGGGUCUGGAUGCUCGUCACCCGCUUUCCAAGUCACGUGAGUGGAUGGCGCUCGCUGGCGGUGUGGACCACGCCCGGCCCGGCGCCCACCGCGGGGGGCCUUCCUGAUCCCAUCGCUCUGUGCAGAAGGCACCUUGGGUCACAGGGAUGGGGUGAGUGUCGAGACUCUUGUCCAAGAGCCGUUUGGUUGCUCUUUGGACUCAGUGACGACUCCACACAGAGUAACUCUGAGUGCGGUGAGACCCGACUUCACCUCACACACGUGGUUCGCAGGCCUGGAAACCACAGGGGGCUUAGAGUUACCUUCCGGAAGCUCCUCAGUCAUACCAGCAGCCAUCGAGCAUGAGGAAAACUGGGUCCGAUUUCUGGAAACAAUAACACACGUGGCAUUAGGGUCUCGGGGCAGGAGGCGAAAAG